GCUCUUCCGUCGUGGCUUUCAUUCGCCAUUUUCUCUUGAAGCGUGCAGUUCUCUCGCGAGUUCUUUCUUAGUAAUAUUCGUAUAUCAGAAUAUAGAAAUAAUUCAAUUGUGAAAAUAUAAAGGAAUAAAUAUCGCGAAUAUGAGUUACGGUAGGCCACCGCCGCGUAUCGACGGCAUGGUGUCUUUAAAAGUUGAUAAUCUUACGUAUAGAACGACGCCAGAAGAUCUCAGGCGUGUAUUCGAAAGAUGCGGUGAGGUUGGUGAUAUCUAUAUACCACGAGAUCGUUUCACCCGUGAGAGUCGUGGUUUUGCUUUUGUAAGAUUCUACGACAAGCGUGAUGCAGAAGAUGCAUUGGACGCUAUGGAUGGUAGAUUACUAGAUGGUAGGGAACUUAGAGUUCAAAUGGCACGAUAUGGACGACCAACCUCGCCUCAUAGAAGUCGCGGAAGCCGCAGACGUGGAAGGUCACGCAGUCGUAGCAGAGAUCGUAGACGCUCUCGUACACGAUCACGCAGUAGAUCUCGUAGCCGUGAUAGAGAUCGUAGACGUUCCUAUAGUCGGAGUCGUAGUCGUUCUCGUUCCGACAGUAAAAGCUCCCGUGGGAAGUCUCGUUCUCGCAGCAAGUCUCAAGAAAGACAAAAAGACAGUCGUUCCAAAUCAAGAUAAGAUACUGGAAUAACAGGGCAUGAGUACAAGCAAAAAGAUCCACAUCCUCCGAUCCACCAUAUUAUCUGUCUUGAGAAGAGAUUGAAAAAGGCGGUGGAAAGGAGUGGCAUGGCGAGUGUAGCCGAUGAUGGGGUAGCUGAGAGUAAGCUGUAAGCCGAGUAAGCAGGGCUGUAAGCAGUUUGCAGUAGCGGGCGGUUGGUGGUCUGGUGAAAGCAGGUUCGCGAGAGAUCGAUGCGAGAGAGUGUGCGAGCAGUCUCUUUGGGGGGUCGCACUGCAGAAUUUGCGGAUGGUACGGUCAAGCGCAGAGAAUAAAAAAGCAGAACGCAAUCAGAGCAGCAGCACGCGGUUGCUGGUCGCAGAGACAUCGAUCCGGGUAGCAGGUAGCACGUGAGCAUAUCACCAGACACCUCGCGAACGAGAAAACGCGUCAGCUGAUAAGUUACCACAUCUAUCUUAGUUGCCAAUAAUUAUUUGACAAUUAUUGGCUAUCGUUUUCGACACUUGCCGCCACAUAGUACAAUUAACUAGGUGGAACUGUGCUCGAAGAAUAUCACAUUUCUUUCCGUUUUUUCUUUUUUGUGUUUUUCUUCUAGAUUCGAUAUAUCAACAGGAUUUUGGUAUAAACGUUUUAGAGGUAAGCCAAGAAAAUAUUUACUAUAUGUGUGUAUAUUUGCUUUAACAACUCCAUUCAAGGUAUAUUUAUUGAUGUAAGGGUGAUUAAUAAAGAUUUUUUUUAACUUA